rnacentral:rRNA from 1 species
GCAAGUCGAGCGGUAACAUUUCUAGCUUGCUAGAAGAUGACGAGCGGCGGACGGGUGAGUAAUGCUUGGGAAUAUGCCUUUGAGUGGGGGACAACAGUUGGAAACGACUGCUAAUACCGCAUAACGUCUACGGACCAAAGGGGGGGAUCUUCGGGCCUCUCGCGUCAGGAUAUGCCUAGGUGGGAUUAGCUAGUUGGUGAGGUAAUGGCUCACCAAGGCGACGAUCCCUAGCUGGUCUGAGAGGAUGAUC